rnacentral:rRNA from 1 species
UGCAAGUCGAACGAUGAUCCCAGCUUGCUGGGGGAUUAGUGGCGAACGGGUGAGUAACACGUGAGUAACCUGCCCUUGACUCUGGGAUAAGCCUGGGAAACUGGGUCUAAUACCGGAUACGACCAUCUGGCGCAUGUCAUGGUGGUGGAAAGCUUUUGAGGUUUUGGAUGGACUCGCGGCCUAUCAGCUUGUUGGUGGGUUAAUGGCCUACCAAGGCGACGACGGGUAGCCGGCCUGAGAGGGUGACCGGCCACACUGGGACUGAGACACGGCCCAGACUCCUACGGGAGGCAGCAGUGGGGAAUAUUGCACAAUGGGCGCAAGCCUGAUGCAGCGACGCCGCGUGAGGGAUGACGGCCUUCGGGUUGUAAACCUCUUUCAGUAGGGAAGAAGCGUAAGUGACGGUACCUGCAGAAGAAGCGCCGGCUAACUACGUGCCAGCAGCCGCGGUAAUACGUAGGGCGCAAGCGUUAUCCGGAAUUAUUGGGCGUAAAGAGCUCGUAGGCGGUUUGUCGCGUCUGCUGUGAAAGACCGGGGCUCAACUCCGGUUCUGCAGUGGGUACGGGCAGACUAGAGUGCAGUAGGGGAGACUGGAAUUCCUGGUGUAGCGGUGAAAUGCGCAGAUAUCAGGAGGAACACCGAUGGCGAAGGCAGGUCUCUGGGCUGUAACUGACGCUGAGGAGCGAAAGCAUGGGGAGCGAACAGGAUUAGAUACCCUGGUAGAAGGGC